CAUAGAAGAAGAGCCUGGGGUCUUAGAACCAGAAGGCUGUGCCACUGACUGCUUGACUUUCCCCUCGAUGAUAGCACUAGCCUCCAUCCUCUUAGCCAUAUCCACUAUGGCAUGGAAGCUCUCCCUAUCUGCGGACUAAAUCAAGGAGGAAUACCUGGAGUGAAGUUUCAUGAUAUACCUCCUUGACUUCUUCUGGUCUGUGUCAAGAGUUUGCCCUGCAAACGGCAACAGCUCCAAGAAUCUGUCGGUGUACUCCUCUACACUCAUUUCCUCUGUCUGCCUUAACUGUUCAAACUCAAUCAUCUUC
rnacentral:lncRNA from 1 species